rnacentral:tRNA from 1 species
GCGGGAAUAGCUCAGUUGGUAGCGCACGACCUUGCCAAGGUCGGGGUCGCGAGUUCGAGUCUCGUUUCCCGCUCCA